UGCAUCAGCCUAACGCCUGAUUGUGUGA
rnacentral:piRNA from 1 species